UGAAGAUGGAGUUCCGCAGGAGGAGUUUUCGGCGUACAAUCGACCGACAGAUGGACGUACGGACGGACGAAUCGGCUAGCCAUAUACAGCUUCGCUGUAAAUGUUGCCCGAUCCUGCUGGUGGAGUCAUCAAAAUUCGGUCAAUUCCUGCAUAGUCAUCGUAUACAGGCUGGGGCUAUUCGUCAACAACUUACCCAAGUAAUCGCAGGAAGCCUCGUUCAGGGGCUGCCUCACAAAUAGCGCUGCACCAUCUCGUACCCGUUACCAAAAGCCAAGAGUUGUCAUCUCAACGAAUAAUUCAGAGGCGCCCAUCGACCUUAUUAUUUCUUUUUUGCUUGCUUCUUUGAGAGGAUGGGGGAGUUUCAAUAUGCGGUGACUAGAGUAAUUUAUACAGCCAUUUUUAAAAUAAACCUAUGACUAUAAACGGUG